UGGAGCUCAGCGGUAGACCGUCUGCUUUGCAUGCAGAAGGUCACAGUUUCAAUUCCUAGCAUCCCAA